GUGCUCGAUUCGGCAGCACAUAUACUAAAAUUGGAACAAUACAGUGAAGAUUAGCAUGGCCCCUGCUCAAGGAUGACACGCAAAUUCAUGAAGCGUUCCAUAUCUUU
ensembl:snRNA U6 U6 spliceosomal RNA